ACGUAAAAGGAUGAGCAAAGAAAGUGGUUUCUUGAGAUGGAAUCUACUCCUGGUGAAGAUGCUGUGAA
rnacentral:pre_miRNA from 1 species